CUCAGACCGUACCCAAGGUUUCCAGAAACCCCUGUACAACUUUCUUCCAGCAACUACGAGGUUAAUUUAUUCAUGUGGAUAAACACAUGACUAUAAACAUCAGCUGUCACUCUGGAUGUAUACUACAGUUCUGUUAGUGGAUAGCAACAUACCUCUGCAAACCUGACAAGAAAAUGUUUCAGUGGAGCAACAUAAGUUUUUCAAAAACUUAAGAAAUGCCUGGUAUCAAAGUAAAAAUAAAAACAAAAAACCA